ensembl:lncRNA
GGGGGAGCCGGUACAGAGUCAAUGUGGAGGCUAUAUACAGGGGGAGCCGGUACAGAGUCAAUGUGGAGGCUAUAUACAGGGGGUACCGGUACAGAGUCAAUGUGGAGGCUAUAUACAGGGGGUACCGGUACAGAGUCAAUGUGGAGACUAUAUACAGGGUAUUACGGUACAGAGUCAAUGUGGAGGCUAUAUACAGGGGGGAGCCGGUACAGAGUCAAUGUGGAGACUAUAUACAGGGUAUUACGGUACAGAGUCAAUGUGGAGGCUAUAUACAGGGUAUUACGGUACAGAGUCAAUGUGGAGGCUAUAUACAGGGUAUUAAGGUACAGAGUCAAAAUGGAGGCUAUAUACAGGG